rnacentral:rRNA from 1 species
GCCUAAUACAUGCAAGUCGAGCGGACAGAUGGGAGCUUGCUCCCUGAUGUUAGCGGCGGACGGGUGAGUAACACGUGGGUAACCUGCCUGUAAGACUGGGAUAACUCCGGGAAACCGGGGCUAAUACCGGAUGGUUGUUUGAACCGCAUGGUUCAAACAUAAAAGGUGGCUUCGGCUACCACUUACAGAUGGACCCGCGGCGCAUUAGCUAGUUGGUGAGGUAACGGCUCACCAAGGCAACGAUGCGUAGCCGACCUGAGAGGGUGAUCGGCCACACUGGGACUGAGACACGGCCCAGACUCCUACGGGAGGCAGCAGUAGGGAAUCUUCCGCAAUGGACGAAAGUCUGACGGAGCAACGCCGCGUGAGUGAUGAAGGUUUUCGGAUCGUAAAGCUCUGUUGUUAGGGAAGAACAAGUACCGUUCGAAUAGGGCGGUACCUUGACGGUACCUAACCAGAAAGCCACGGCUAACUACGUGCCAGCAGCCGCGGUAAUACGUAGGUGGCAAGCGUUGUCCGGAAUUAUUGGGCGUAAAGGGCUCGCAGGCGGUUUCUUAAGUCUGAUGUGAAAGCCCCCGGCUCAACCGGGGAGGGUCAUUGGAAACUGGGGAACUUGAGUGCAGAAGAGGAGAGUGGAAUUCCACGUGUAGCGGUGAAAUGCGUAGAGAUGUGGAGGAACACCAGUGGCGAAUGCGACUCUCUGGUCUGUAACUGACGCUGACGAGCGAAAGCGUGGGUAGCGAACAGGAUUUAAUACCCUGUAGUCCACGCCGUAAACGAUGAGUGUUAAGUGUUAGGUGGGUUCCGCCCUAUUAUGGUGCAGCUAACGCUUUAUUCACUUCGUCUGGGGAGUCUGUCCGUCUGACUGAAAUUC